GUGAAUGCUUGAGAAACAUUUAGAAAAUGGAUGCACUUUGAGACCGGAUAUGCGCUGCACCAACACUAUAGCGAGGGAGUGUGUUGUCAGCUUCUGUCCUGUAACAAAAUGCCUAGAAAGCCACUUGGACGAGGAAGGCUUUGUUUUGGCUGUUUCAGGGCUUUCAGUCAGCCAGCCCCUCGCUUGGAGCCCUGCACUAAGGCAGAAACAUCGCGGUGUAAGGGUGGGGGAGAACAAAGCCGCUCACCUCGUGGCAACCAAGAAGCAGAGAGGAAGGAGCCAGGAACCACACAUUCCAAUAGUCCUCUUGCCCUUCCCCCAGGAGAUUGUGGAACACCCGGAAUUCAUCCGUGGGGGCGCCACCAGGACUGACAUCUGCCAGGGGGAGCUGGGGGACUGCUGGCUGCUGGCCGCCAUCGCCUCCCUCACACUCAAUGAGAAGGCACUGGCCAGAGUGGUCCCUCAGGACCAGAGCUUCGGGCCUGGCUAUGCUGGAAUAUUCCACUUCCAGUUCUGGCAGCACAGCGAGUGGCUGGACGUGGUGAUUGAUGACCGCCUGCCCACCUUCAAGGACCGCCUGGUUUUCCUGCACUCAGCCGACCACUGUGAGUUCUGGAGCGCCUUGCUGGAGAAAGCCUACGCCAAGCUGAAUGGGAGCUACGAGGCACUGAAGGGAGGCAGCACCAUGGAGGCCAUGGAGGACUUUACUGGUGGUGUGGCUGAGACUUUCCUCACCAGAGAGGCCCCGAAGGACUUCUACCAGAUCCUGGAGAAGGCCCUGGGCCGCGGCUCCCUGCUGGGCUGCUCCAUAGAUACCAGAAAUGCUGCAGAAUCUGAAGCCCAGACACCUUUCGGUCUUAUUAAAGGCCACGCCUACACUGUGACGGGGAUUGACCAGGUAAAUUUCCAAGGACAGAAAAUUGAGCUCAUCAGAGUUCGGAAUCCUUGGGGCCAGGUGGAAUGGAAUGGGUCGUGGAGUGACAGCUCUCCAGAAUGGCGCUCUGUGGACCUCACUGAACAGAAACGCCUGUGUCACUCCGCCCUUGACGACGGGGAGUUCUGGAUGGCCUUUAAGGAUUUCAAGACCCACUUUGACAAGGUGGAGAUUUGCAACCUCACGCCUGAUGCCCUGGAGGAGGACACUCUCCACAGAUGGGAGGUCAUAGUCCACCAAGGAAGCUGGGUUCGGGGCUCUACAGCUGGGGGCUGCCGCAACUUCCUGGAUACCUUUUGGACCAAUCCACAGAUAAAGCUGUCCCUGACAGAGCAAGAUGAGGGUCAGGAGGGAUGCACUUUCCUUGUAGCCCUGAUGCAGAAGGAUCGGCGGAAACUCAAGAGGUUUGGUGCUGACUUGCUGACCAUAGGCUACGCCAUUUACCAGAGCCCGGAGGAGCACGGACACCUGAGCAGAGACUUCUUCAGGUAUCACGCUUCCCUGGCCAGAAGCAAGACCUUCAUCAACCUGAGGGAAGUCUCUGACCGCUUCCAGCUGCCUCCGGGGGAGUACAUUCUGAUCCCCAGCACCUUCGAGCCCCAUCAAGAGGCUGACUUCUGUCUGAGGAUCUUCUCAGAAAAGAAGGCCAUCACCAGGGACCUGAACGGAACCAUAGACAUCCACCUUCCAGAGGUGAGUCUUUUGCCCCUGUGGGAGAACUGGAUGUGGGCAAAGGCCCUGGAACCCUCUCUCCUGACCAUGGUGCCCCUCAAAGUUCAAGGUCAGGAAAUGGUGCAUGUGCUUGGGUUUGUGGCUGUGGUUCCAGCCCUGGAUGCCAAACUCCAUGCAUAGCCCACAGGCAACAGCAGGGCUGAGACAGGCGCUCAGCAUAAAGUUCUGCAAGCCGCUCUCUGCCUCUGGACUCUACCUCCCCCUGAGAGGUAUCUGAUGCUUGUGGAGAGAACAAAAUCACUUAAAGUGUAUUUAUUUAAGAAAAACAAUCAACAAAAGAAGAGGAAUGGGGCAGGUAGACUGCUUUGCCAGGAGUUCCAGGGACUCUUCCUGCACAGUGUGUGCUUUGGAGCAGAGGAGCCGGUUUCACUUUACCCCAGGUAUGCCAGGCCUUCAGGAGGCUUAAAGGUCUUCCCUAGCUGGAGCUGCUGUUGCAUCCACCCACCAGCCCCUGGAAACACGGAAACCAAAGCCUCCUCAGAUGUGUGCUGUCUCCCAGUGGUACCUGACCUAGACAGAUUCCUGCUUUCCAAGGGUCCACUGCCCACCCGACAAGACAGGGCGGUGGUAACUGCUGUCAGAGAUUAGGGUGGCAAGGAGGCUUGGCAGCCCCUACCCAGCCAAUAAUCAGGCCCAGCUUCCUUUCCUCCCUUCCAUGCCAACAGGAAGUUAAGGAAUCUGCAGGUUGGCACAGAGCCCCUGCCCUGGUCCUGACUGAAAUAGGGUCACUCGUGCUGAUGUCUAUGUCACCAUGUCAAGAUCAAGCUGUUCACCUACAGUCACAGACACCCAGGACGGGGCUGGGCAUUUAGCUCAGCAGCAAAGCGCCUGCCUGACAAGCACAGGUCGUGAAUUCAAUCCCUGGUACAAGCAAGCAAGUAAGCAAGAAAGAAAGAAAGAAAGAAAGAAAGAAAGAAAGAAAGAAAGAAAGAAAGAAAGAAAGAAAGAAAAAAAGAAAGAAAGAAAAGAAAAGAAAGACCCAGAGAGAUACGACAGCCAGACCCAAUGCAGGCCAGCUCUAGCCAGGAAGGAAAAAAAAUUUCCUAAAACCUCCAUAACCUCCAUAAGUAAAGUUGACAGCAAUUCCUGGACCUACCCAAUCACUUUGGUCUGAAAUUUUUUUUUAUCAGAGAUUGACCCCAGGGCCUUUGCACUGGGCUCUAUCCCCAGACCUUUUAAAAUGGUUUUUUUGUUUUGAGACUGUCUCAUUAAAUUGCUACAACUUGAGCUCUUCCAGUCUCAGCUCCCAGAGUGCUGGGAUUGGAGGGCUGUAACUCCUUGUCUAGUCUACCAAUCCAUUUUCAUAUCAUCCUACUUCUGGACCUGCUCAAGCUGCCUGAAAACCUCAUUGUUCUGCCAGCCAAGAGGCUGUGUUUACAGACAGGAAGCUACUUAAUUCAUGAGUCACUGAUGAAAUCCAGUUAGGUUUUUGGACCCAGCUUGAGGGCGAUCUGUCCCUUGACAUCUGUGAGUCCAGCUGACCCAGUCCUUCAGGAUCUGGUUCUGAAGAGCCUCCCAGGCCUCCAGACUCUGCUCCCCACCCCAGACUGAUGUAUAGCUCGGCACAGUUCCGGCUCUCCCUGGGGGCAGCACCGUGAUGCGUCCCUGGGGAAGUGAAUGUCAGUUCUCUUCCUUGUGGUCCUUUGGUUACAUUUCAGGCCCUGCCGCCUGUCCCUGAGCAGGAGUCGGAGGAGGAGCAGCACUUCCGGGCCGUGUUCCAGCACAUCGCUGGUGAGAAAAGGGCUUCAAGUUCAAGAAACUAAGCCUGAUCU